rnacentral:rRNA from 1 species
AGGGCUCCGCAGGCGGUUUUUUAAGUCUGAUGUGAAAGCCCCCGGCUCAACCGGGGAGGGUCAUUGGAAACUGGGGAACUUGAGUGCAGAAGAGGAGAGUGGAAUUCCACGUGUAGCGGUGAAAUGCGUAGAGAUGUGGAGGAACACCAGUGGCGAAGGCGACUCUCUGGUCUGUAACUGACGCUGAGGAGCGAAAGCGUGGGGAGCGAACAGGAUUAGAUACCCUGGUAGUCCACGCCGUAAACGAUGAGUGCUAAGUGUUAGGGGGUUUCCGCCCCUUAGUGCUGCAGCUAACGCAUUAAGCACUCCGCCUGGGGAGUACGGUCGCAAGACUGAAACUCAAAGGAAUUGACGGGGGCCCGCACAAGCGGUGGAGCAUGUGGUUUAUUUCGAAGCAACGCAAAGAACCUUACCAGGUCUUGACAUCCUCUGACGAUCCUAGAGAUAGGACGUCCCCUUCGGGCCCAGAGUGACAGGUGGUGCAUGGUUGUC